rnacentral:rRNA from 1 species
AUUGAACGCUGGCGGCAUGCCUUACACAUGCAAGUCGAACGGUAACAGGUCUUCGGAUGCUGACGAGUGGCGAACGGGUGAGUAAUACAUCGGAACGUGCCUAGUAGUGGGGGAUAACUACUCGAAAGAGUGGCUAAUACCGCAUGAGAUCUACGGAUGAAGGCAGGGGAUCGCGAGACCUUGUGCUACUAGAGCGGCCGAUGGCAGAUUAGGUAGUUGGUGGGAUAAAAGCUUACCAAGCCGACGAUCUGUAGCUGGUCUGAGAGGACAAUCAGCCACACUGGGACUGGGAAACGGCCCAGACUCCUACGGGAGGCAGCAGUGGGGAAUUUUGGACAAUGGGCGCAAGCCUGAUCCAGCAAUGCCGCGUGCAGGAUGAAGGCCUUCGGGUUGUAAACUGCUUUUGUACGGAACGAAAAGCCCCGGGUUAAUACCCUGGGGUCAUGACGGUACCGUAAGAAUAAGCACCGGCUAACUACGUGCCAGCCGCCGCCGUAA